GAUGAAGAACGUAGCGAAAUGCGAUACGUAAUGUGAAUUGCAGAAUUCAGUGAAUCAUCGAAUCUUUGAACGCAUAUUGCGCUCUGUGGUAUUCCGGAGAGCAUGCUUGUUUGAGUAUCAGUAAACACCUCAACUCCCUUUUCUUUUUUGAAAUUGGAGCUGGACUUGAGUGAUCCCAACGCUUUCUUCCAAGAAAGUGGCGGGUUGCUUGAAAUGCAGGUGCAGCUGAACUUUUCUCUGAGCUAUAAGCAUAUCUAUUUAGUCUGCCUAAAAAACAGAUUAUUACCUUUGCUGCAGCUAACAUAAAGGAGACUAGUUCUUGUGCUGACUGAUGCAGGAUUCACAGAGACAGCUUCGGCUGACUUUGUAAACUCGAUCUCAAAUCAAGUAAGACUACCCGCUGAACUUAAGCAUAUCAAUAAGCGGAGGA
rnacentral:misc_RNA from 1 species